CAUAGCAGGGGAGGGUGCGCUCCGCCUGGCGGCGGCUUGUUUGGGCGAAUGACGGUCUGAGCAUCCCUGGCUCAGCAGAAGGUUCGAAGUCCACUGCUCGGGCCGCUGCUACGUCUUUCUCACCACCAAGAAGGAGGAGCAAGAGGUGUGUAACCAAUCUUUCAUUCCUAGCUUCUGCCAACCCAUGGAUACCAGCACAACUCAAAGUAGACAAGUCAAGGAAGACCUACAAAAUUAGUUGCACGUCUAUCUCUCUCUCUAUGUGUUAUCUGGUGCAUGUAUGGGUGAGAAGUAGAGGAAGAGGGAGAGAGAGCACAUUCUGAAAUUGAAUGGAACUUCCAAUCCAAGUUUAAUUUUCAUUGGGCAUUCAAAUUUUAUUUUGCUUUUCUUAGAUUUUGGCUGGGUGCUUAAACAUUUGUACACAUUGGUUUCAGAUUUUAGUUUAAAGUACAAAUAGGAGUCAAGGAAUAGUGUUUUUUUGAAUUUAGAAAUAGGGAGAGGAAGGGAAAUUAUUUAUUAUUGUUUGCAUGUAUUGAACGAGUGUACAUUUGAGAAAGAAGAAAUAGGGCCUAUAAAAUUAGGUGGAAGAUAUGCCGAUAGGGCCAAUAAAUUUCUAUUGGGAGGAAGACGUUGUCUGAAAAUAGUUGAUUUAUGCAUGGUUCAAUAGUUAUCAUUAUGACCAUUAUUUCCUAUGCAAGAAGACUAUUGUUGUUACAUCCAUUCCCAGUAUAUGAAUCCAUGUGUGUAUCAGUGUAUGACACUUCCAAACUUGGAAUUUUUGGUUUGAAAGUUAGUUUAGUUAUUUUUUUUGAUUUAUAUCUUCUCACAUGUAACAUCCUCUUAAAAUUUGAAAUUUUCAAAAAAAAAAACUAAAUGAAGAUAGAGUAGCAUGCUCUUAAUAGUACAACUUAAACUCUCACACGCUUUAUGUCUUCUUUGAAGUUCGUAUUUUCAAAGAAUCACGCGUCUAUGUUAGAUCAUAUAUGUUGUUUAGUUCAGACUUGUGCGUGUUCAUGCAUUGGCAUUAAUUUGACAGAGAUAUAGCAUGAUUUUGUACACAUGGGCAACAAGAAACCUCACAUUAAUUUGAGAGGUAAAGUACGGUGCCACAUCAUCGCCUUCUUGUUGUACGUAAAGUAUGGCACCGUCUUUUCGGACUUAAGGGAUAUUGUUUAACAAAAUUUGAGAGGUAAAGUACAGUACUACAUCAUCGCCUUCUUUAUUUGACGUAAAGUAUGUCGCCGUCUUUUCGGACUUAAAGGAUAUUGUUUAAAAAAAUUUGAGAGGUAAAGUACAGUGCCACAUCAUCGCCUUCUUGUUGGAUGUAAUGCAUGGCACCGUCUUUUCGGACUUAAGGGAUAUUGUUUAACAAAAUUUGUGAUGUAAAGUACGGUGCCACAUCAUCGCUUUCUUGUUGGACGUAGAGGUACUAUUUAACAAAGUUUUCUAUGAAUAAGUUUGGGUAUUAACCAAUUUGUGUUGCUUUAGAAUUUGCCACCGUCCAGUUUUAUGAAUAAGUGGAAAAUGGAAGCCGUAAGGACCACCUUCAUUGUAAUAUCUCAUGACCCAUGUUACAUUCCCAUUCCCUCUCUUAGGCUACGUCUUAUUGACUCGUGUUCCGUGAUGAGGUCACCUGUUUUAUGUAGAUUCUAAUUAGCUGCAAGAUCAUACAUAUCUUUUGACCUACUUGAUAUGAGUGUAUGCAAGAAAUAAUUAAGGGAUUGUGUUGGACUCUUGGUCGACCACAACGAUCACGACACAGUGAAUGGGUUUUGAAUCUUCUUUGCACCAUCAGAUCGGAAUCAAUGUGUAUAUUGUAGUUAUGGACGGCCGUCUGCUUAAUGUUGUUUUUAGAGCUUAAGUGGUGAAGACAUGUCUAAGACAUGAUAUACAUGUACCCUGUGCGUAUGCAAUUGUUUUUAUAGCCUUGCUAGCAUCAUAAAUUAAUUGUGGGAUAUGAUGCACAGGAGUAGCAUCAUGUGUAUAUUUUUCACCACCUGAGUACCACUCUUAUUACUGCAUUUAUUUUUCUCAAGAUAUGUACAUUUACAAUGGGGUCUUAGGAGGAGGUUUCAAAACUAAAUGAACGCAAUAGUUUACUUUGCAACUACCUGCUAGGUUUGCAAUCAUUUACAUCAAAUGGCAACUACGGGGUAUUCAACGAUUUGUGUUAUCGGUUUUGUCCAGAUGAACUUUGUAGUUAGAAAGGAGUUCCGAAAUUGCCUAGGGGCAUGUUUGCCUCCCCCACACACACAACAGUACACAAAUUUUCUGAUUGUUCGUGUUGGCCAAUGGAAAAUGGAGUCAAAAUUCUGGAUUUUCUACUUUAUAUCAAAGCUCUUCCCCAACCCGUUAUUUUGGAUUUUGGUAGAUAUAGUCGAGUAUUCACUCGCAUCAUGAAGAAGUUUCUCUUUUGGUUUGCAGGUUCAUUCGUUGAUAUGAAGUUGUUGCUUCAUAUAAUGUAUCUAAGCAAUGGAAGUUUGAUGUGUACAUAUUAACACACAUAUAUAUACAUGUCCUGACCUUUUAUUCUUUUCUUAUUGCAGGUUCAUACAUCAUCGCACAGAUUAGUUCGUUCACUAGGUUGUGAUGUCAAGGUUACACAUGUACACCACUUAUUCCUAAGAAUAGUAUUCUAUAUUUAGCAGAGGAGAAUAUCGUUCAUUGUAAAUCAGUUAGGUGUAUAUGAACAACCAAGAAGCUCAUUGGUCCUGAAUCCUUGGAUAUUAGGAAGUUUGAAGAGGCCCAACAUGCAUAGCCAAGAUUUUAUUAGGAACCAACUAGCCACCAUACUGCAUGUAGACUCUUUUUAUUUGGUUCCUUGAUCAUGGACUGAUGAUGUCCCUUCUUUCUUCAGCCAAACUGAAGCACUUCAUGUUAGAUUGUCUUUGCUUUAGGAUUAAUUGUAAUGCAUCAUCUCACCGUUUAUGUUUCAUGGAUGAAUUCAAAUAUAGUAUUUGUAUGUUUGAUGGA
rnacentral:lncRNA from 1 species